rnacentral:rRNA from 1 species
CCCUUAGAUGAUUUGGGCUGCACGCGCGCUACACUGACCCUAACAAUGAGCAACUGUCCGGCCUGAGAUGGCUGGGUAGCCUUUUCAACCCAUGUCAUGAUUGGGCUAGAUUUUUGUAAGUCUUGAUCUCUAACGAGGAAUCCCUAGUAUGCGUGAAUCAUCAAUCCAUGCAGAUUAUGUCCCUGCCCUUUGUACACACCGCCCGCCGCUCCUACUGAUUGGGUGAUCCGGUGAGCUGUUCGGCCAUAGCAAUGUUUCUUGAGCAGGGCAAUGAAUGUUUCGCAAACCUUGCCACUUAGAGGAAGGAGAAGUCGUAACA